UCAAAGCAACUUGUAUGUAACAGUGCUCAGAUUGUUGUAAACGACAGUUUUAUGAGGUCGUAAGAACGACAACAUUACAAAACUCGGACUAAAAUGUACUCUCAAUUUGCAAAUGAAGACGCGCCCGCGAGCGCAAGGUCAUCAUCAGCCAAUCGCACCAAGCUGCUUGUCAAUAUAUCGGCAUGGGCCACAAGGACACUUGCUUUCUUAAGCAUCAUCUUCGCUGUCGUUGCCUUUACGAUGUUACAUAAUAUCUGGUUUGGAGCUGUUAUGUGUGCCACAGCAGUAUUCAGUAUUUCGAGUCCAUUAAACUUUAACGCUUGCUGUUAUUCGGAUUGUUCACGAAACACAUCAG